UGAAUACGAGAUGCUACGGCGUCGAAGCAGUGUAUGUCAGACUUCCAAGAAAAGCUCGCAAUGUCAUAAAUAAAGAAUGCCUGUACCAUAACCGACACAGGUGGGUAGGUAGAGUAUACUAAGGGGCGCGAGAUAACUCUCUCUAAGGAACUCGGCAAAAUAACUCCGUAACUUCGGGAGAAGGAGUGCCUUCUUUAAGAAGGUUGCAAUAACAAGAUCCAAGCAACUGUUUAUCAAAAACACAGGUCUCCGCUAAGUCGUAAGACGAUGUAUGGGGGCUGACGCCUGCCCAGUGCCAGAAGGUUAAAGAAGUUGGUUAGCUUUUGCGAAGCUGAUGACUGAAGCCCUGGUGAACGGCGGCCGUAACAAUAACGGUCCUAAGGUAGCGAAAUUCCUUGUCGGGUAAGUUCCGACCCGCACGAAAGGCGUAAUGAUUUGGAUACUGUCUCGGAGAGGGACUCGGUGAAAUAGACUUGUCUGUGAAGAUGCGGACUACCUGCACCAGGACAGAAAGACCCUAUGAAGCUUUACUGUAACUUGAAAUUGAAAUUGGACUUUAUUUGCGCAGUAUAGGUGGAAGGCGUUGAAAGUAAUCUUGCGGGAUUAGUGGAGCCAUCAGUGAGAUACCACUCCUAUAAUGUUAGAUUUCUAACUUUGGAUCAUGAUCUGGUCAAAGAACAGUUUCAGGCGGGCAGUUUGACUGGGGCGGUCGCCUCCCAAAUGGUAACGGAGGCGUACAAAGGUUUCCUCUGAACGGGUAGAAAUCGUAUCUAGAGUGUAAAGGCAUAAGGAAGCUUGACUGUGAGACCUACAAGUCGAGCAGGGACGAAAGUCGGUCUUAGUGAUCUGACGGUGCUGAGUGGAAAGGCCGUCACUCAACGGAUAAAAGUUACUCUAAGGAUAACAGGCUGAUCUCCCCCAAGAGUUCACAUCGACGGGGAGGUUUGGCACCUCAAUGUCGGCUCAUCGCAUCCUGGGGCGGUAGUACGUCCCAAGGGUUGGGCUGUUCGCCCAUGAAAGCGGUACGCGAGCUGGGUUCAGAACGUCGUGAGACAGUUCGGUCCAUAUCCGGUGUAGGCGUUAGAAUAUUGAGAGGAGCCUUCUUUAGUACGAGAGGACCGAGAAGGACAUACCUCUGGUGUACCAGUUAUCGUGCCAACGGUAAACGCUGGGUAGCUAUGUAUGGAGAGGAUAACCGCUGAAAGCAUCUAAGUGGGAAGCCCACCUCAAGAUGAG
rnacentral:rRNA from 1 species